GCUGGGCAUAGUGUUGGGUGCCUGUAAUCCUAGUUACUCAGGAGGCUGAGGCAGGAGAAUUGCUUGAACCCAGGAGGUGGAGGUUGUGAUGAGUUGAAAUCAUGCCACUGCACUCCAGCCUAGGUGAUGGAGCAAGACUCCGUCGGAGUUUUGUUUUUUUUUUUUUGGACAGAGUUUCACUGUUGUCCAGGCUGGAGUGCAGUGGCACGAUUUCGGCUCACUGCAACCUCCGCCGCCCGGGUUCAAGCAAUUCUCCUGGCUCAG
rnacentral:sRNA from 1 species